rnacentral:rRNA from 1 species
CAGCCGCCGCGGUAAUACCAGCACCUCGAGUGGUCAGGAGGUUUAUUGGGCCUAAAGCAUCCGUAGCCGGUUGCAUAAGUUUUCGGUUAAAUCUAUGCGCUUAACGUAUAGGCCGCCGAAAAUACUGUGCAGCUAGGGAGUGGGAGAGGUACACGGUACUCGAUAGGAAGGGGUAAAAUCCUUUGAUCUAUUGCUGACCACCUGUGGCGAAGGCGGUGUACCAGAACACGUUCGACGGUGAGGGAUGAAAGCUGGGGGAGCAAACCGGAUUAGAUACCCCUGUAGUCCCUGUCUCUUAUAA